ACUAGCACUUUUUUCCAGCUGCUCAAACAUACUUUGGCACAGUCACUCACUAGCUCCAAAUACCAGGAUUACUCCAUUCCUGUUCAGAGGUUCAGUGACUUGGCUCCCAGAGGAAAAGCAAAGGCAGUUUCAGAAAUCUACUAACUCCCCAAAUGGAACUAAAUAAUAGCCGUGACUUCAGGGUAUUGUUUGAAGGUGAAAGGAGAUGAUGUGUAGAAAGCAUUUAUGGGAUGUAUGUGCCUGGCACCUAGGGAGGUCUGGGUCAAGGUCAGCUGUUUUCCUUAGGAGGUUCUACGGAUGAACACAUCAGCUGGGGCUUCUGGGGUGGGUUUGUCAUAAGUUGAGAAAUCAAUCCAGAGUCUCCAGGAUGCUAUGUCAGCAGCUGAGGAAGACCCAAGUUUGAAUCCUAGCUUUGUAUCCUCCACCCUGGGUUUUGCUGAGUCUCAGUGUUUUCAUUUGUCAAUGGAAAGAAUGCCUUUCUCAGAGGGCUGCUGAAAUGACCAAGAAAAACAUGGACUAAUGAUCUGGUCAUAAAGGAUGUGGGAGGAGGCCAACUUGGAAUUGAUUUCAGGAGGAGGAGGUCUGAUGUCUCGAAGCUCAAGGUUCCAGUCACUGGAGUAUUCCAGGGAAUAACAGAAACCAUGGUCACGGUGAUGGUCUGAGAACAUUUGCGUGCUUGAUUCACCAGAGAAUCUUAGAAACUUAUGACUUUGUUCUUGGGAUGCUGCCAGUCUUUCUGGAAGUGGCUGUACUUUGGGAUGAAAGCAGCUGAGGAAAUAAAAAAGUGUUAGGUCAGGACCAACAGCCUGACGUAAAAUCCCCAGGCCAGCGUUGCAAAUGAGAGGUCAGCCAGCCCCCAGGCCAAGUGUAUUCUUGAUGGAAAACUAAUUAAUUUUCAAGAAGGAAGUAUGUCAUUGGAUAGAGUUCCUUCUUGUCUCCCCAGCUUGUAUAAACAGCUGGACUUGUAAAAUUUUCUGCAUGGAAUGCUGGUCCUUUAAGACCCAGCCUUGGCCACAUGUAUCCCAAUGUUUCCUGAUGAUGAUGCUUUCCUUGAGUGGCCCCACUGGGGAUGAAGGAAGAAGUUUCUACUGCACAUCUGGACUGGCUGUUGGUCCAAGCAAGGUGCUCCACAAAUGUGUGUGAAGAGGAGGCAUUCAUGAGACUCAGCUUCUGAACAAUUAGGAGAAAGAGGCACUUGACUCCUCCCACUUCCUCCUGCCUUCAUCCUCCAGGUCUGGUGUGCCCAGAGGGCACUGGAAGCCCACCUUUUUAUUUUUUGCCAGUCUUAGUAUUGUGUUGCUUAGCGCUGUUUUUCUUACGUAAGAGGGAAUAUCCAACAGACUUGAUAAAUGUAUUCAUUCUCGCGUGAGAGGAAUUUAACCCUUCACCCUGGUCCUGAGUGGCCUAGGCUGAAGAUUCAGAGCUUAAGCAGCUGGUUGCCAAUCAGGAUUUUGCCCCUUACUAGCUGUGAGGCUCUGGGCAAUUAUUCACUUUGCCUCUCUGAGCCUUAGUUUUCUCUUUCAUCUUAAAAACAGAAGAGUGUUCCUUGUGUUUAUCAUUGUUUAAAGUAGAAGUUCUUGGGACUCCCCUGGCAGUCCAGUGGUUAAGACUCUGAGCUUCCACUGAAGGGUUCAAUCCCUAGUUGGGAAACUAAAAUCUUUGAAUACCGUGUGCAGAGUGGCCAAAAAGAAAAAAUAGUAGAGGUUCUUAACCUGAGUCCAGGGAUGAGCUUUAAGAAAUCCAUAAACAUUCCGAUAUACCUGGUAAAUUUUUUUCUCUUUGCAUAUGUGAAUUUUCCUUCAGAGAUGAUCUGUAACUUUCAUCAAAUUCUUAAAAUGGCAUUUGACAUUUGCCUGCCUCUCCCCUCAAAUAACACCACUGGGUUAGGGAUGACACCUGUAAAUGGUAUACAGUAAAAUUUCUACUUAAAAGGUUUUAAAAAAUGCUAAUGAUUUUUAUACCUACUUUCCAGGGUUUGUAGGAUUAAAUGAGAUGAUGGACAGUAAGCUCUUAGCACAGUGUUAGACAUGCUGCAAGCACCCCAAUGCCGGAUACUGGGGUAAGAUUUUGAAACGCAGAGACUUAAUUUUCUCUUUUGUCUUCUAGAGUAUAUAACCUGUAUGCUAAUUGGGUGGUGCUAGAGUAGAGGAAGGAAGCAGAGGGGAGAUUGUGAUUUAUCCCAGAAAAACUCUCCACCAUUCGUUUUGGCGACCUCACCUAGAAGCUGGGAGUUGACUGGACAGCUUGCAUGAGUGCAGGGCCAGAACUCUCUGUCUUAGACAAGAAGUUGAGUGUGCUCCAGGGAUAUAGGCAUUAGGAGUGUUGUAUUAGGGCAGAGUAGUGAGAGUAGGGCUCCCCUCCCUCCAGAGCAGGCAAAACAAGAUUUACUGUCUGUAGGGAAUUUUAUUUUUAAUUUAAUUUUAUUUUUAAACUUUACGUAAUUGUAUUAGUUUUGCCAAAUAUCAUAAUGAAUCCGCCACAGGUAUACAUGUGUUCCCCAUCCUGAACCCUCCUCCCUCCUCCCUCCCCAUACCAUCCCUCUGGGUCGUCCCAGUGCACCAGCCCCAAGCAUCCAGUAUCGUGCAUCGAACCUGGACUGGCAACUCGUUUCAUACAUGAUAUUUUACAUGUUUCAAUGCCAUUCUCCCAAAUCUUCCCACCCUCUCCCUCUCCUUUUAAAAUGAGGAUAAAAUUGGGGCUUCCCUGGUGGUACAGUGGUUAAGAAUCCACCUGGCAAUGCAAAGGAUACCAGCUGCAGCCUUGGUCCAGGAAGAUCCCACAUGCUGCAGAGUGACUCAGCCCAUGCUCCUGGAGCCCAUGCUCCAGAGCAAGAGAAGUCACCACCAUCAGAAGCCCGCACCCAAUGAAGAGCAGUGCAACCAGAGAAGGCCCGCGUGCGGCAACGAAGACCCAAUACAGCCAAAAAUAACUGAG
ensembl:lncRNA